CACGUAGGGGGCGAGCGUUGUCCGGAAUCAUUGGGCGUAAAGAGCUCGUAGGCGGCUCAGUAGGUCGGGUGUGAAACCCCCAGGCUCAACCUGGGGACGCCACCCGAUACUGCUGUGGCUAGAGUCCAGUAGGGGAGUGUGGAAUUCCCGGUGUAGCGGUGAAAUGCGCAGAUAUCGGGAGGAACACCAGCGGCGAAGGCGGCACUCUGGGCUGGAACUGACGCUGAGGAGCGAAAGCGUGGGUAGCAAACAGG
rnacentral:rRNA from 1 species